AGCAGACCUGGAAAGGAAAAAGUAGAUGACACGAAUGCCAUAUGUGUAUUAUGAAAGAACGUAAAAAAUUCGUGUAAAAAAUAACAUGCUAAUUUGAUGAGGAAUUCCAAAAAUUUUACUAUUGGAAGAAAAAGGAGCUGUAAGAAGUCUUGAGAUUCUAAAGAUGAAAAAUUUGGGAAUGUAAAAAUUCUAGAGUCGAAAUCCGAAAGUCAGGUGCAAGUCUAAAGCCUGCGGAUUAAACAUGUUGAACAAGACUGAGGAUUCGUCGAUC